CUCUAAACAUAAUUUUCACUAACUUUAAAAUAAAUGCUUGCAUAUUCUUUACAUAAUUGAAGAUUGCUUAAAUUAUUAAAUUUAUUUCAGGUAUUUAUUGCAGAUAUUCAACUUUGGUCAACAAAGAAAGACCUAUUAAACCUCACAUCUUUUGAUAGAAUUUCCAUGAUUCUUUGAUACCACUAUCAUUUUUUGUGUUUAUAUCUCUAGUUAGAAGGAAGACUUAUUUUAACAUUAAUAAUCCACCCACAAUAUAUAUUUAUAUUUGUCAUUUAGUAGGAUAAUGGACAAGAAAAGUGAACAAGAACAGCCUCUGGUCUUUUGGAAACUUGCAGCCUGAAGUUCGAUAUACUAGAACAUAAACACUGGAUAGCAAGACAUUACCAUAUGAUAUAAGUACAGUUAUUAUUUAUUUACUUUAAUGUAGACACUGUAUAUGAUGUGAGACUUUUCAUACUUUUGAUUUAUUUUAAUUUUCAUAUGAAUAAAUUAUGUUCCUAAGAGUUAACAACUAAAGUUUUUCUUAGUUAUUUCUAUAUACCUAGUAUUAUAUUUCUAUCUAUAUUUAUUAUAGGAGAGGUUAUAAAUGCUGACUAAUUAGAUUCAUUACCAAAGAAGAGGAAAUUACAGAAGUCAAGAGGAAGGUCUGAAGAGGGAUCUGAAGAGGAUUUUCCCUGUCUUGAACCAAGGAAGGGUUUCUGUAUCUAGCUGCUGGCAGCAUUCAGUCUCACUUGGACAUCAGGACUUGCUUGGACAUCUAAAACAACAGAUCCUGGAUCUAACUGGUUUUGGACCCCUGCUGAACUGGGGCUGAUUCUCUCAUCCCACCUGCACCCAAUUUGAUAGGCUGAAGAAGAUUUCCAGAAAGAAGACCAUGGCCAAGUUGCUAUAUGACAAAUUUCAGUGCUCCAGGAGUAUCUGUCUGGUGGGAUUCAUUCUGUGAAUCUUAAAAACUACUCAGACUGUAUUUUAGAAGAUUUUAUUUAGCUAUUUCCUCAUUGAAACAAUGGAGAUACUUGAUUUAACAGAAUUAGGAAUGUCUUGUGAACUUUACAUUACCUUUCCUUAGUCAUACUUUAGGGGAAGAUAAAGUUGUAAACCCCUGAUUGAACAAUGAAGGUACUUAACUCAUACCUUAGAGUGAAACUAGAACCUUAAGCUAAGUCUAUUUUUAGAUCUAAUACAAAAAGGUGUUAAGUACCUGUAAAGGUUAAAUUAAUCACAAAAAGAUCAAGUAACUCACAAAAGGGAAGCUUAACAAAGAAGUGUGAAGUACCUCAGAAAUAUAAUCUAACCAGAGAAGGUGAGAACUGAAGAGUGGUGAGAACUAAGAAUGGGCAGUCCUGGAAAAAAGUGUAUACUGUGAUUGGUAGAUGUGAAAAUUUAGGGGAGGUGACGUAAGAGAAAAUUCGCUUUAAAAGGAGGCUAAAAAGUCAGUUCAGACAAUUCAGUUCAGAAUGGAAUUGGAUUCUGAACUCAGUACAGGAGAUUGAGUUCAGUGGAGUACUGGAACCCAGCUUGGAGACGGUCUUGUGGUGAGUGAUAAAACUGACUUCCUUUCCUUUAGACUCAGGGAGGCCACUUUGGACAAGGCCUUUAAA
ensembl:lncRNA